GAUGAACGCUGGCGGCGUGCCUAAUACAUGCAAGUCGAGCGAACAGAUGAGGAGCUUGCUCCUCUGACGUUAGCGGCGGACGGGUGAGUAACACGUGGAUAACCUACCUAUAAGACUGGGAUAACUACGGGAAACCGGAGCUAAUACCGGAUAAUAUAUUGAACCGCAUGGUUCAAUAGUGAAAGACGGUUUUGCUGUCACUUAUAGAUGGAUCCGCGCCGCAUUAGCUAGUUGGUAAGGUAACGGCUUACCAAGGCAACGAUGCGUAGCCGACCUGAGAGGGUGAUCGGCCACACUGGAACUGAGACACGGUCCAGACUCCUACGGGAGGCAGCAGUAGGGAAUCUUCCGCAAUGGGCGAAAGCCUGACGGAGCAACGCCGCGUGAGUGAUGAAGGUCUUCGGAUCGUAAAACUCUGUUAUUAGGGAAAAACAAAUGUGUAAGUAACUAUGCACGUCUUGACGGUACCUAAUCAGAAAGCCACGGCUAACUACGUG
rnacentral:rRNA from 1 species